UACGUAGGGGGCAAGCGUUGUCCGGAUUUAUUGGGCGUAAAGAGCGUGUAGGCGGUUUGGUAGGUCCGUUGUGAAAACUCGAGGCUCAACCUCGAGACGCCGGCGGAAACCAUCAGGCUAGAGUCCGGAAGAGGAGAGUGGAAUUCCUGGUGUAGCGGUGAAAUGCGCAGAUAUCAGGAAGAACACCCGUGGCUAAGGCGGCUCUCUAGUACGGUACUAACGCUGAGACGCCGAAAGCGUGGGGAGCGAACAGG
rnacentral:rRNA from 1 species